UUAAUUUUGUCACACUUCGUUAAGUUUUAAUGUUAAUUCUAAAUAAUAAAAAGGCAUUCCGUAAAAUCGAAUUAUUCACACAAUUCGUUCUUUAAGUACCUAACUUGAAGAAGUAUUUAAGAUGCACCGAUCGAACUUAAAGUAUUCAUUACAAAGUUGAAUUUAAUACGUACAUACAAUGAUAUUUCGAGUUGUGUUACUUUUUUCCCCGAUUUUUAUUGUGUUUGGAAAGGAAGACACUUAUGGGGCUGAACCUAAAGUUUUUAGUUCAUAUAGCGAACUUUAUUUAUUAUCCAACCACAAAAAGUUAUUCUUUGAGGCUGACCGGCAAUGCAAGAAACAUGGUCUAAUUUUGGCGACCAUUCACGAUGCAUCGCAGCAAACACAACUGAUCAAUUUCAUUAAAAAGUCAAAUGCCAAUGCAAAUACAUGGUUAUGGUUGGGUGGUUCUGACCUGGCCAUGAAAGACCAUAAUCCAUAUUUUUUUUACUGGGUCGACAGUGGUGAAGCGUUUACAUAUUCCAAUUGGCACCCCAAAAGACCUCAUAAAGAUAAUGUCAGUUGUCUUGCUAUCCAUACAGGAAAUUAUUUAUGGUACGAUCAGUAUUGUACCGCUAAAUAUGGAUUUAUUUGUAUGCAUCCACUCUAUGCCCUUAAGAGAGACUAAAAAGAAUUGAAUUGCCAACAAUUUAUAUCUAUAAAUAUAUUAUUUUGCAUUACAAA